rnacentral:rRNA from 1 species
GACGAACGCUGGCGGCGUGCUUAACACAUGCAAGUCGAACGGAAAGGCCCUGCUUUUGUGGGGUGCUCGAGUGGCGAACGGGUGAGUAACACGUGAGUAACCUGCCCUUGACUUUGGGAUAACUUCAGGAAACUGGGGCUAAUACCGGAUAGGAGCUCCUGCUGCAUGGUGGGGGUUGGAAAGUUUCGGCGGUUGGGGAUGGACUCGCGGCUUAUCAGCUUGUUGGUGGGGUAGUGGCUUACCAAGGCUUUGACGGGUAGCCGGCCUGAGAGGGUGACCGGCCACCUUGGGACUGAGAUACGGCCCAGACUCCUACGGGAGGCAGCAGUGGGGAAUAUUGCACAAUGGGCGGAAGCCUGAUGCGGCAACGCCGCGUGCGGGAUGCCGGCCUUCGGGUUGUAAACCGCUUUCGCCUGUGACGAAGCGUGAGUGACGGUAAUGGGUAAAGAAGCACCGGCUAACUACGUG